UACUGAUAACUUUUUUAAAUGUUAGGAAAUAAAGAAAUGGAAAAAUAAGUCUAAGAGCUAAUUUUGUGAAAGUUCUAACAUGUUAGUCCUUUACUCUUGGACUUCAUCUCACUUGCGUCACACACAUAUACACACAUGCAUACACACACACAGAGGCACACACAUGUGCACACACAGGCACACACACAUGCAUACACACACACAGACAGGCACCCACAGGCACACACAUGUGCACACACAGGCACACACAUGUGCACACACAGGCAUACACAUGUGCACACACAGGCACACACACACAGGCACACACACACACACACACACACACACACACACAGCUCUCCCUCCUUCUAGUACCAUCGCUGGAGGCCAUGGAACUUUGGUAUAAGGAGUUUAAAAGGACAUACUCAUUCCCUAACCCUGAGCAUGAGAUGAUGUGAACUUUUGUUGUUGUUGUUGUUGUUGUUUUGAAUCAGGGUUUCUCUGUGUAGCCCUGGCUGUCCUGGAACUCACUCUGUAGACCAGGCUGGGCUCGAUCUCAGAAAUCCACCUGCCUCUGCCUCCCGAGUGCUGGGAUUAAAGGCGUGCGCCAUCAUGCCCAGCAAUGUGAACUUUUAAAAUAGAAAAGUUUAAUCUCAUAAACCAGACAUCUUCCCAGCUUUCUAUCUCAUGGCUACUGUGGUUUCAGUAGAAUUAAGCACCCAAGAACAUAAUCCUCUGGCUCUCUUCCUCUUCCUCUUCCCUCCUCCCUCUCUCCUCUUCCCUUUUCUUCCCUCUCUUCCUUCUUUUCCCUGCCUUCCUUUUCUCUGUUGAAUGUGUGCACGCAGCAGUGAGCUUUAUGGCAGCCUUGGGUUUUGCUGUGAGGAAGGGAUAAUGGCAGCCUGCUUAUUUCAGAGGUCUUUCGGGAAAAAGCCGCCAUCUCUCCACUCCUACUUUGUUUUCUGUUGGUGCGAUAAAAGACUGAGCAAAUCCAACUCUCUCUCUCUCUCUCUCUCUCUCUCUCUCUCUCUCUCUCUCUCUCUCUCUGUGUGUGUGUGUGUGUGUGUGUGUAUACUUAUAACUUCAUCUUACACUUUCUAGUCCCUCAUUGGCAGAGGUCAGGGUGGGACCCCCAGGCAAAACCUGGAAGCAGGAACUGAAGCAGAGACUGUGCAGGAAUGAGCCUCACUGGCUUACUUCCCAUUCCUUACAAGACCCUGGAGUGGCACCACCUACAACAGGCUGGGCCUCCCCACAUCAAUCAUCAGUCAAGUGAGUAUCCAACAGCCUUGUCUGCAGGCCAGUCUGAUAGAGGCUCCCUCUCCCCAGGUGUCUCUAGUUGUAUCCAUUUGACAAACAGGCAAGCAGCACAUUCCCCUCACUGAGGGUUUUAUGAACUCUGUGAGCCUUGGCUUCUUCAAUGCCGUUCAAGCUGUCACCCUAGUCUCAGGCUCCCAGGGGAGAAGUGUCACCCCAGAUUAGCAGGUUGCCUGUCUCUCACACUCAAAGGCUCACUUGAUCUUGACCCAGAUGUGGGCACUGAGUGUUGAGUGAUUAGUGGGGAGUUUUUUGGGUUGGGGGCAUGUUGGGAGCCGCGCCCACAUUCGCCGUUACAAGAUGGCGCUGACAGCUGUGUUCU
rnacentral:lncRNA from 1 species